CCUACGGGAGGCAGCAGUGGGGAAUAUUGCACAAUGGGCGCAAGCCUGAUGCAGCAACGCCGCGUGAGGGACGACGGCCUUCGGGUUGUAAACCUCUUUUAGUAGGGAAGAAGCGAAAGUGACGGUACCUGCAGAAAAAGCACCGGCUAACUACGUGCCAGCAGCCGCGGUAAUACGUAGGGUGCAAGCGUUAUCCGGAAUUAUUGGGCGUAAAGAGCUCGUAGGCGGUUUGUCGCGUCUGCUGUGAAAACUGGAGGCUCAACCUCCAGCCUGCAGUGGGUACGGGCAAACUAGAGUGCGGUAGGGGAGAUUGGAAUUCCUGGUGUAGCGGUGGAAUGCGCAGAUAUCAGGAGGAACACCGAUGGCGAAGGCAGAUCUCUGGGCCGUAACUGACGCUGAGGAGCGAAAGCAUGGGGAGCGAACAGGAUUAGAUACCCUGGUAGUCCAUGCCGUAAACGUUGGGCGCUAGAUGUGGGGACCAUUCCACGGUUUCCGUGUCGCNGCUACGCAUAGCGCCCGCCGUCGGAGGACGCGCGACGACGUAACACGAAGAAGUAGACGCGUGAGACGUCGCCGACGGACGACGACGAGGGAGGAGG
rnacentral:rRNA from 1 species